GGACCCGCACAAGCGGUGGAGCAUGUGGAUUAAUUCGAUACUAACCGAAGAACCUUACCCAGGUUUGACAUCGAUGGCAAGCCCCUGAAAGGGGGCCCUCUUCCCACAAGGAAGACCUGAAGACACUUGUUGCAUGGCUGUCGUCAGCUCGUGCCGUGAGGUGUACGGUUAAGUCCGCCAACGAGCGCAACCCUCGCCCUAUGUUGCCAGCGAGAAAGUCGGGAACUCAUAGGGGACCGCCGGUGUAAGCCGGAGGAAGGUGGGGAUGACGUCAAGUCAGCAUGGCAGUUACGCCUGGGGCUUCACACAUGCUACAAUGGGCGAAACAAUGGGCAGCAAUACCGCGAGGUGGAGCUAAUCCCAAAAAUACGCCCCCAGUUCAGAUUGCAGUCUGCAACUCGACUGCAUGAAGGCGGAAUCGCUAGUAAACGCAGGUCAGCUAUACUGCGUUGAAUACGUUCCCGGGUCUU
rnacentral:rRNA from 1 species